rnacentral:rRNA from 1 species
UACGUAGGUGGCAAGCGUUGUCCGGAUUUACUGGGCGUAAAGAGCGCGCAGGCGGUCGUUCAAGUCGCGUGUGAAAGCCCCCGGCUCAACUGGGGAGGGUCACGCGAUACUGAUCGACUGGAAGGCAGGAGAGGGUAGUGGAAUUCCCGGUGUAGUGGUGAAAUGCGUAGAUAUCGGGAGGAACACCAGUGGCGAAGGCGACUACCUGGCCUGUUCUUGACGCUGAGGCGCGAAAGCCAGGGGAGCAAAGCGGG